rnacentral:rRNA from 1 species
ACAGAGGUGGCAAGCGUUGUUCGGAUUUAUUGGGCGUAAAGGGUCCGUAGGCGGCUUGAAAAGUCGGAUGUGAAAUCCCACAGCUCAACUGUGGAACUGCAUUCGAGACUUUCAGGCUCGAGUGUGAUAGGGGUAAAGGGAAUUCCCGGUGUAAGGGUGAAAUCUGCAGAGAUCGGGAGGAACACCAGUGGCGAAGGCGCUUUACUGGAUUAUUACUGACGCUGAGGUACGAAAGCGUGGGGAGCAAACGG